GCGGCGCUCCAAUCGGUGAUUCGAUGGUAUAACGACGAUUACAUUUUGACUCGUCGGGUUACGGCGAAAUCGUGAGUUAUCGACUGAGAAAAGGAUUGUGUACGAAGCGCGUAGACACCGCCCCCCUUUGAAUGACUUCAUUCAACUGGACGAUCGUAAUACAUUAACGUGGAAAGCGCUUAUGAUCGGAAUGCAGAACGGUUGUAUCGCAGCGUUUUAUCUAUUGUGAUAGGAAGGGAACAGAGUUUCGCAAUAGGACGCUUGUAUUCGCCAGACGACGUUUUUACGCUGAUUACUUGGACGAGGUCGUCAUCUCCUGGGUGGCAUUUGAUGAUACGGCCAAGUUCCCAUCGACAAGGCGGAACAUUCGAGUUGCGAAGCAGGAUAAGUUGACCGACUCUGGCGAGAUUUUGCGUCAUCUUCCAUUUUGGUCGUUGAUGCAACGUAUGCAAGUUGACGAUUACUGGUUUAUCCUCGAUCCUAAUCCAAAGGACCAAAUGUUUGAAGCUGGAUAUUAGUGAAUUGAAAAUUACUAACUGGAUUCCGUAGUUUCAAAGACGUGGGCUUCGAGGAGAAGAAUAACGACACAGCUGCGGUCACUGAUUGUGUAUUAAAUAUAACUGGUACCCAACGUGUCUCUAAUUAAAUAAUUACGCGUAUCACUAUGUAUCGCGGUGCAAUGCAUUUGAAUUAAUUUAAUGUACCCGAAACUCGAGAUAAAGAAAUGUUGGUCGCUGUCUGUGAUACGGUAACGGUUCGAAUCGGUGAUUAGAUGGUGUAACGACGAUUAUAUUUUGACAUCGUGAGUUAUCGACCGAGAUAGGAUCAUGUACGAAGCGCGUACAGUAUUGUAUAAUUCUAUAUUGGAUAAUGGUGUAUACAAUAAUUGUACAUUCCAUAAUCGUAUAUUUAAUAAUUGUGUAUUCAAUAAUUGUAGAUUGUAUAAUUGU